rnacentral:rRNA from 1 species
CCUACGGGAGGCUGCAGUGGGGAAUAUUGGGCAAUGGACGCAAGUCUGACCCAGCAACGCCGCGUGAAGGAAGAAGGCUUUCGGGUUGUAAACUUCUUUUAAGGGGGAAGAGCAGAAGACGGUACCCCUUGAAUAAGCCACGGCUAACUACGUGCCAGCAGCCGCGGUAAUACGUAGGGGGCAAGCGUUUACCGGGUUUACUGGGUGUAAAGGGGGUUCAGGCGGGGAGACAAGUCCGAUGUGAAAUACACGGGCUUAACCCGUGAACUGCAUUUGAAACUGUUUCCCUUGAGUGGCGGAGAGGUAAGCGGAAUGCCUUGUGUAGCGGUGAAAUGCGUAGAGAUAAGGAAGAACACCAGUGGCGAAGGCGGAUUACUGGACGAUAACUGACGGUGAGGCGCGAAAGCGUGGGGAGCGAACAGGAUUAGAUACCCGAGUAGUC